rnacentral:rRNA from 1 species
GACGAACGCUGGCGGCGUGCUUAACACAUGCGAGUCGAACGGAAAGGCCCUGCUUUUGUGGGGUGCUCGAGUGGCGAACGGGUGAGUAACACGUGAGUAACCUGCCCUUGACUUUGGGAUAACUUCAGGAAACUGGGGCUAAUACCGGAUAGGAUCUCCUGCUGCAUGGUGGGGGUUGGAAAGUUUCGGCGGUUGGGGAUGGACUCGCGGCUUAUCAGCUUGUUGGUGGGGUAGUGGCUUACCAAGGCUUUGACGGGUAGCCGGCCUGAGAGGGUGACCGGCCACAUUGGGACUGAGAUACGGCCCAGACUCCUACGGGAGGCAGCAGUGGGGAAUAUUGCACAAUGGGCGGAAGCCUGAUGCAGCAACGCCGCGUGCGGGAUGACGGCCUUCGGGUUGUAAACCGCUUUCGCCUGUGACGAAGCGUGAGUGACGGUAAUGGGUAAAGAAGCACCGGCUAACUACGUG